rnacentral:rRNA from 1 species
GACGAAGGUUGCGAGCGUUGUUCGGAAUCACUGGGCUUAAAGCGUAUGUAGGCGGGCCAGUAAGCGUUUUGUGAAAUCCCCCGGCUUAACCGGGGAAUUGCUUGGCGAACUGCUGGUCUUGAGGCAAAUAGGGGUGCAUGGAACUCUUGGUGGAGCGGUGGAAUGCGUAGAUAUCAAGAGGAACGCCAGCGGCGAAAGCGGUGCACUGGAUUUGUCCUGACGCUCAGAUACGAAAGCGUGGGGAGCAAACGGG